GGAUGUCCUCGUCCAGGCGGGCGUCGCGUUCCAGGCCCGCGCGUUCGGCGGCGAUGUCGGCGGCCCGCUGUUCGGCGCGGCGGGCGCCCGC
rnacentral:tRNA from 1 species